rnacentral:sRNA from 1 species
UAUAAUGGUUGAGAAAUGACUUUUUGUGCUUUUUUCUCACCAGUUGACUUCUGGUAUUCAGGAAAGAAGCUUGACUGACGAACAACUACCAAGGUA